rnacentral:Y_RNA from 1 species
GGCUGGUCCGAGUGCAGUGGUGUUUACAACUAAUUGAUCACAACCAGCUACAGAUUUCUUUGUUCCUUCUCCACUCCCACUGCUUCACUUGACUAGCCUUUA